rnacentral:rRNA from 2 species
AAAGCUCUGUUGUUAAAGAAGAACACGUAUGAGAGUAACUGUUCAUACGUUGACGGUAUUUAACCAGAAAGUCACGGCUAACUACGUGCCAGCAGCCGCGGUAAUACGUAGGUGGCAAGCGUUAUCCGGAUUUAUUGGGCGUAAAGAGAGUGCAGGCGGUUUUCUAAGUCUGAUGUGAAAGCCUUCGGCUUAACCGGAGAAGUGCAUCGGAAACUGGAUAACUUGAGUGCAGAAGAGGGUAGUGGAACUCCAUGUGUAGCGGUGGAAUGCGUAGAUAUAUGGAAGAACACCAGUGGCGAAGGCGGCUACCUGGUCUGCAACUGACGCUGAGACUCGAAAGCAUGGGUAGCGAACAGGAUUAGAUACCCUGGUAGUCCAUGCCGUAAACGAUGAGUGCUAGGUGUUGGAGGGUUUCCGCCCUUCAGUGCCGGAGCUAACGCAUUAAGCACUCCGCCUGGGGAGUACGACCGCAAGGUUGAAACUCAAAGGAAUUGACGGGGGCCCGCACAAGCGGUGGAGCAUGUGGUUUAAUUCGAAGCUACGCGAAGAACCUUACCAGGUCUUGACAUCUUGCGCCAACCCUAGAGAUAGGGCGUUUCCUUCGGGAACGCAAUGACAGGUGGUGCAUGGUCGUCGUCAGCUCGUGUCGUGAGAUGUUGGGUUAAGUCCCGCAACGAGCGCAACCCUUGUUACUAGUUGCCAGCAUUAAGUUGGGCACUCUAGUGAGACUGCCGGUGACAAACCGGAGGAAGGUGGGGACGACGUCAGAUCAUCAUGCCCCUUAUGACCUGGGCUACACACGUGCUACAAUGGACGGUACAACGAGUCGCGAACUCGCGAGGGCAAGCAAAUCUCUUAAAACCGUUCUCAGUUCGGACUGCAGGCUGCAACUCGCCUGCACGAAGUCGGAAUCGCUAGUAAUCGCGGAUCAGCAUGCCGCGGUGAAUACGUUCCCGGGCCUUGUACACACCGCCCGUCACAC